ensembl:lincRNA
ACGUUCACGGUCGGUUGCGACCCGCCGCAUCACGGAAUUAUCCAUGUGCGAUGGCCUGCAAUUCCAUGGAGUCUGUGGGAACACACUCUCCCCAAACUGUGUACGUAAUAGAUAAAUAGGAUUGUGAGGUACAUGAAUCGGUGUGGAGCUCAAAAAGAAUAUUUACCUCACGAAGUGAACAAAAUUAUUAAAAUACGUGGAGAAGAAGAAGAACAUUGAUGUGAGAUCCUUGAGGUAUGUUUACAGAGAGUGAUUGUGUAAAUAAAUGAGAAGGUAAUGAGGAAAUGGUCACCUUGGUAUGUUAUCUUACUUCCGGUCUAUAUCCACGUGUGCUCGCGAUUUGGAUCUUGAGACAGUUUGUUCUAUUGAGAGUUGGCUCGACCACGAGGGAGAGAUCGUGGUGGUUUGGAUUUGUUCCCCCAUUAUGGACUCCGUGUUGAGGGUCAUGAACCAAGACCCCACGAGCUGCCCUCACGAUCCGAGAUCCUCGGACUCCAAGUCGAGCUCCGAUGGAGGGAUCAGAGGGGGUCCGGGAGGGGUUGAUGAGAUCUGUGGGUUCAAGAUCCUGGACGUUCAGAACCUUCCGAUGGGAGAGGACGGUCCGUACCUGGGACCAGAAUCUUCUAUUGUGGUGGUGAAGGUGGAACCUGAACCUACGAAUGGUUCUCACUCACAAGGUGAAACUGGUCAAGAUGAGGGGAGAUGUCUCCAUGAUAACUCGCUUCUAACUUCAAACACAAUCCGUGUAAAGGAAGAGCUGAGUGAAGAUUCUUGCAAUGCCAAUGACAGACGGAUCCCAGUCAUGAGGAUGUUGUCGAUUGCCAAGAAUAUGAUCACGUUCAAUGAAAAUUCUUUGCAGCAACACGAGAAGAUUGCGGAUUACAAACAGAAAAACUUUCAUCGUCAAAAGCAGAUGAAGGUUCCCACUUAUGAGAAGAUAUACGUGUGCACCGUGUGCAAACAAUCAUUCGAUUGCAUUUCAUCCUGUCGGAUCGAUCGGGCAGGUGGAUAAAGAGUGAUUCUGCAAAUAGAUGAAAAGGAUAUCUCAAAAAGUUGUGGACGGAUCCGGAUGAAAUUUUAUGGACAGGUUCAGUGUGUGACAGCUGAACUGAUUCAAUUUUGGUGAAGAUCCAGUUCCGACUACUACAAUUCUUCAACAUUGAGAGAUGGGGCCAAAAACGAUAUCUCAAAAAGUUGUGGACGGAUUCGGAUGAAACUUGAUGAACAGGUUGGGUGUGUCACAAGGACAAAUUGAUUAGAUUUUGGUGACGAUCCAAAUCCGGAUCUGAAUACGAGAAUUUUUUUAUUUUUAAUUUUAAUUCCAAAUGUGUGCGCUUUCUGUUGGUAUGUGGUGUGGGUGUUUUCUGUUGGUAUGCAUGGUUUCUUUUUGUCCUCCAUCUGUCUUUCUUUAUUUUUCUUUGUCUACAGAGGGGUGAAUCUUGCAAAUCGUUUUUGUAAGGCUCACUUGGCUGCACCUGGAUGAGUUUGAGGGUAGAGGAGUAGCAGCCAAAACCCAAAUCCUAUUCAGAUUCCUCCUGAUGACUCCACCUUUGUCUAUUUGGGUUCCUCCUGAUACUCCAGUGCUGUAUUUGGUCAUUUAUUUGAUUAAUUAGUCUGUGAGAGGUCAUCAUGGAAAAUCGCAUCAUAUAAUGCAUAAAAUUGCUCGAAGUUCAUAAUUUGAAAACUAUAGCACUUACAAAAGUGAUGUAUACAGCGAUUCAUAGGUAUGAAGAUCCUAGACAUUCGAGAUAAGAGUGAGGAAAGUGGAAAAAAAAAUUGAGCACUUCAUCGUUCAGAAACUGUUGCGGUCUGUUUCAAGUAAAGGAAUGUUUGAGCAGGCCGAACAAAAUGGUGGCUUCAGACUCCAGCGAUAUGACAGAGGGUUAACAAAUAUGGCAUGCCACCAUCUUGGUAAGGCUGGGGGGGG